CUGGUGGUCAAGAGGGAAGGAGCCCUUGUGGAGGGAUCCAGGGACUUCAAUGGAGAAGACAGCAGAGGGGUGCCAGUCAUGUCACCUGCCAGUUCCUCCGAGGAAAGACUAAGCAGCUUGACCUUCACAGCGGGCAUGUGAACCCCUAUUGAACCUUACAGUCACCUGUCACCUGAACUGGGAGCUGUGAUUAGGCUGGGCUGUGAGGUGAAGGUGGGGAGGUGGGCUUGUUUGCAGUGGGAUCACACUUGUUUACAGCCAGUCAGGGCCUGCUACUCCCCUGCAGCCAGGCACUCCUUCUUGGUCAUUUUGGUCUGAACACUUCUUUUCCACUCACAAGAUCUGCAGAUUGUGUCUUUUUAUAGCAGCAAGCACCUUUUAUUUCCUGCAUUUCAUGAUCUUCAGCUUCCACCAAAGACACACGGGCAACCAAGGCAGAUGUGCAAACUGACAGGCCAGUGCUUGCCCUCAGGGAACGUGAGCAGUGGCUGUGUGAGCUGGUCACACAGAUCCAUCAUGCUAUGAGAAGCAUCACGGCCGUCCAGCACUAAAGGAACCGCUCUGAGUCCAGGAGGCAUUCAGAGACCCAGCAGGACCAGCAAAUACUGACGGCGUACUGGUAAUGAUCCUAUGCCUGCUGAUUGUCGGCCCCGGUCCUGCACUUACCUCUGCAGGGAAGCAGCAACAGCAGGCACAGAUCCAUGCUCUAUGCUCCGAUCGUUCUCUGUCAAGCUCUGAAGGAAAGUCCAUCUUAGUGUCACGUUCUUUUAGUUAAAGUUGAUUAUUGAUUUUUUUUUUU